UAUGAAAUGAAAUGAAUGUCGCUCUGGAUAAGAGCGUCUGCUAAAUGACUAAAA
rfam:Salmo salar isolate Sally breed double haploid chromosome ssa13, whole genome shotgun sequence.